rnacentral:rRNA from 1 species
GAUGAACGCUAGCGGGAGGCUUAAUACAUGCAAGUCGAGGGGUAACAGGUUCUUCGGAACGCUGACGACCGGCGAACGGGUGCGUAACGCGUACACAAUCUACCUCUAAGAGGGGAAUAGCCCUGGGAAACUGGGAGUAAUGCCCUAUAGUAUUAUAAAGUCGCAUGGCUUAAUAAUUAAAGUUGAGGCGCUUAGAGAUGAGUGUGCGUCCUAUUAGCUAGUUGGUGUGGUAACGGCAUACCAAGGCAACGAUAGGUAGGGGGCGUGAGAGCGUGAUCCCCCACACGGGCACUGAGACACGGGCCCGACUCCUACGGGAGGCAGCAGUAAGGAAUAUUGGACAAUGGGCGGAAGCCUGAUCCAGCCAUCCCGCGUGCAGGAUGACGGCCCUAUGGGUUGUAAACUGCUUUUAUAUACCAAGAAACGCAGAGAUUUAUCUUUGUCUGACGGUAGUAUAUGAAUAAGCACCGGCUAACUCCG